rnacentral:rRNA from 1 species
UACGAAGGGGGCUAGCGUUGCUCGGAAUCACUGGGCGUAAAGCGCACGUAGGCGGGUUCUUAAGUCGGAGGUGAAAUCCUGGAGCUCAACUCCAGAACUGCCUUCGAUACUGGAAAUCUCGAGUCCGGGAGAGGUGAGUGGAACUGCGAGUGUAGAGGUGAAAUUCGUAGAUAUUCGCAAGAACACCAGUGGCGAAGGCGGCUCACUGGCCCGAUACUGACGCUGAGGCACGAAAGCGUGGGGAGCAAACAGG